GAGAGCGGGCAGGAAUCGACUUCAGCACAAACCUCAGAUGGUGAUGAGGAAAGUAAACCUGGCAAUAAGGAUGACACAAAUGCCAACGUCCCAGCUGGCCCGCCACCCAAAAGGUCUACCAGGAGCCAGACCAUUGCUGCAUGUGACAGACUCACAAUUUACUUCCAUGCUGUUCUCUCAAAGGAUUUCAAAUUUGAUCAAAAUGAAGAUCGUAUCUUUGUCAGGGCUGGGCUCUGCAUUGGGACGUGGGAAGACAAUGCAGUUGAGCUGUCAGUGAUCAGGGAUCUUGGAGAACAUGGGUUCCUGGUUGAAGGCAGUCUGGUGACAAA